GUUCAACAGGUCGUAUGGUGAAAGGUCACCUGCUCUUUGUUUACGUUUUGUUAUUAACGGUGCAUGGCCGAUGGAUAGCUAAAGUAAAACUGCAUACUUCGUGUACAUUUUGUUAAAAACACUGAGCUAAAACCUUUCACUGCGACAAGCUGGGAAAAAUUUAAGGUAUGUGCUAACCAGUGGAUCAAAUUAGAUGGAAAUGGCGGGCUUGUGCCGGAGACAAAUGCCGAUUUGCUGGACAAAGCAGGAAUGUGCAGACAAAACUCUCACUGAGGUAUGGUAUAGGCUACUAUUUCUCACAUUCCACGUUAACAAAACUGUGUAUGAAACAUUAUCACGAUUCCAAAAUUGUUGAAGAAAGUGAUGUUUAGAAACAAGCAGCAAAAAGAAAAAAAAACAAAAAGAGAAAGAGAAUAAAAUAAUAGGUCUGGUUAAUUUGUUUAAGGGGAUCGGAUCAUAUCUUAACAUUUUCCCCAUUUUCUUACAAAUGCAAGCUGAUGAAGAUAUUCUCCUAAAUGCAUGACAACCCAGACCAAGGACUACUCGGCCCAAGACCACUCAGACAAAUAGAGAAGUCCACUCAUACAAGACAGAAGACCACUAUGUCACCAUUAUUGAGGUGAAAUACAAUGCGCAAUACUCAUACCCAAGUUGUCAUGGAGAGAGAGAAAUGGGGUUUAACGUCCUCUCGACACAAACUUUAUCAUUUCGGGACUAACAUAUGGUUUAAUUUUUUUUAUUUCAAUAAUUCGAUUGCGCGUAGGGGUCUUUAGCAGUGGGAGGCCCCGGAGAAAACCCACAACCGGGGAUUCGAAACCACACCUGUUGACUUAAUGACAGGCUUUAUGAUACAGUACGCACAUGCUAACAAUUCGGCCAUCCAACCCCCAUGUUAUGGAGAAAAUUAGAACCGAAAUAGAUGAGUUAGUACAAGUGCACUUACUUUUUUUGAAAAAAAGGGGCAUAUUCUGGCGCAUUCCUCCCUGGUUGCCUGACUGUAGCUGUGGAAAUUUAAACCCCUCUUGUUAAACUCUAUUGAACAAAUGACAGGGUUAGGGUGACUAGAGAUCAAGCACCAAACAAAAUUUUCAAUGUGAAUGUAAAUCAAGCUGCAUUACACUUUUACAGAUAGAUCAGUAAUAGAUGUACUUGUUACAAGUGAAAACUUUCUUGUAUGGAUUUGUGUAUAUUGUUCGAAUAUAAAAGUGACACCCAAACAUAUGCUGACAGUGACAUUGAUUUUAAUAGCGAUAUGAUAUUGAUGAAAUUAUGUGAGUAGGCCUACACCUAUAUACAUGUACUUUUGUAAGCGGUUUACAUUUUAAAUAUGUUUUACUUAAAUGUACUGUACAUGUCAAUAAAUUUUCAUAUUAUAUUUUGUCACUUUAUGCUUACUAUAUGUUUUUAUUUUACUUUUUUAUUCUAAUUCAUUUCCGACGGUUUCCCCUUGUCAGUGGUGCAGGCGGAGGGGCUGACAAGGCACAAGGACAGCAGUCUAGUCGAGGUCCCGUGUAUACAUUGGUGUACACGUAAAAAGAUCCCUUGGCAGUUGUAAUUCGAUAUAAACAUAUAUGGACAAUGUAUGGGGGUAGCAGUAACGACAUCCCAUAACAAUAGCCACCAUUUGAAAACGUUUUUAAACGAUCUAGGACAGCAAGAUUAAAUAUAAAUAAAUAGUCAUGAUUUGAAA